AGAGUUUGAUCCUGGCUCAGGAUGAACGCUAGCGGCGGGCUUAAUACAUGCAAGUCAAGGGGUAGCAAUACACCGGCGUACGGGUGCGUAACGCGUAUGGAACCUGCCCUUAUCUGGGGGAUAACUCGGGGAAACUCGAGCUAAUACCGCAUAAGAUAGUAGAAUGGCAUCAUUCAGCUAUUAAAGAUUUAUUGGAUAAGGAUGGCCAUGCGUAAGAUUAGAUAGUUGGCGAGGUAACGGCUCACCAAGUCUACGAUCUUUAGGGGCUCUGAGAGGAGAAUCCCCCACACUGGCACUGAGAUACGGGCCAGACUCCUACGGGAGGCAGCAGUAGGGAAUAUUGGGCAAUGGGCGGAAGCCUGACCCAGCCACGCCGCGUGCAGGAAGACGGCCCUCUGGGUUGUAAACUGCUUUUAACUGGGAAGAAAAGAGGCCUUGCGAGGCAAGUUGACGGUACCAGGUGAAUAAGCCACGGCUAACUACGUGCCAGCAGGCGUGGUAAUACGUAUGUGGCGAGCGUUAUACGGAUUUAUUGGGUUUAAAGGGAG
rnacentral:rRNA from 1 species